UUGUUUACGUUUCAUUGGACGGCUGGUGCGUGUGACGGCACUGGCCUAUGAAUCGUCACGAUCAAAAUGUUUGGCGGUAUCACACUUGAUUGCUCAAGCGGAUGAAAUGGUGGGUCGCGCCGACUUGCGCCGUGCUUCCCAUAAAACAGACUCGUUCCACGUGACGUUGCCGGGGUCGUGAGACCCCGAAUUGGUGUGGUAAUGAUCCUUCCGCAGGUUCACCUACGGAAA
rnacentral:misc_RNA from 1 species